rnacentral:lncRNA from 1 species
GUCUCCUUUUGGGUUCUCCGGCAGAAGGCAGACAUUUACAGUCCGCUUCCAGCCCCAGGCCGGAUCCGGGGAGCGCGGGGCCAGAGCCCCAGGCCGGAUCCGGGGAGCGCGGGGCCAGCCUGGCGGUGGUUUUGCCCGAGGAGCGGGCUCCCACGCGCGAGUCAGGCUUCCUCCACCAGGCGCCCAGACCUCGAUGCCCAUGAACGCUCAGAGUGGGUCCUUAGAACCGCAUUUCAACACAUCUUACAGGGCUCCGCCAACACACACACAGAACAUGCUCCAAGCAGUGCCCGAGCGCACAGGGCAAGCCCGGGAGCAACCCAGAGCUGGGGGAGGAGAAAAGGGGACUCCGGGAGGGACGGGGAAGUAGUUAGACAAUAGUCAGGGGAGGUUAUUCCCGGGACAAAAAGCACCUGGCAAAGCGCGCCGAGCCCGGCGCAGGCCACGCGAGACGCCGAAGCCAGCAGGUCCCCACACUCUCCGGCUAGACCGUGCCAGCCUGAGCCCCGAGCAAGCUUCGGAGAGGAACAAUGGGUGCCCCGCGUCCCACCUGGCACGAACUCUGGGGACAGCCCUCCCUCUACCCUGUGUUCCCCACCCCCGGACAGAGAGAGCUCCCCACGAUCCUUGUCCCCAGCCCUAGCGGGGACCUGGCUCACCCCUCGUGAGCCCAGGACUCCAGGCGUUCGUCGGGGACGCCCCCCGGCC